rnacentral:rRNA from 1 species
AGAGUUUGAUCAUGGCUCAGGACGGAACGCUGGCGGCGUGCCUUAAUACAUGCAAGUCGAGCGGACCGACGGGAGCUUGCUCCCUUAGGUCAGCGGCGGACGGGUGAGUAACACGUGGGUAACCUGCCUGUAAGACUGGGAUAACUCCGGGAAACCGGGGCUAAUACCGGAUGCUUGAUUGAACCGCAUGGUUCAAUCAUAAAAGGUGGCUUUUAGCUACCACUUACAGAUGGACCCGCGGCGCAUUAGCUAGUUGGUGAGGUAACGGCUCACCAAGGCGACGAUGCGUAGCCGACCUGAGAGGGUGAUCGGCCACACUGGGACUGAGACACGGCCCAGACUCCUACGGGAGGCAGCAGUAGGGAAUCUUCCGCAAUGGACGAAAGUCUGACGGAGCAACGCCGCGUGAGUGAUGAAGGUUUUCGGAUCGUAAAACUC